CCUACGGGUGGCAGCAGUGGGGAAUAUUGCACAAUGGGGGAAACCCUGAUGCAGCGACGCCGCGUGAGUGAAGGAGUAUCUCGGUAUGUAAAGCUCUAUCAGCAGGGAAGAAAAUGACGGUACCUGACUAAGAAGCCCCGGCUAACUACGUGCCAGCAGCCGCGGUAAUACGUAGGGGGCAAGCGUUAUCCGGAUUUACUGGGUGUAAAGGGAGCGUAGACGGCGGCGCAAGUCUGAUGUGAAAGGGCGGGGCGAAACCCCGGGACUGCAUUGGAAACUGUUCGACUGGAGUACAGGAGGGGUAAGCGGAAUUCUCAGUGUAGCGGUGAAAUGCGUAGAGAUUAGGAGGAACACCCGUGGCGAAGGCGGCUUACUGGACUGUAACUGACGUUGAGGCUCGAAGGCGUGGGGAGCAAACAGGAUUAGAUACCCGAGUAGUC
rnacentral:rRNA from 1 species